UGUGGUGCCAGUCCUGCUGACCUCCUUUCUCGUCCUGUGACUAGUGAUGUCUAAGCUCCUGGGAAUGCAGCCCUGUAGGUCUCAGCCUUAUUUUACCCAGCCCCUAUUCAAGAUGCAGUUGCUCUGGUUGGAACGUCUCUGACAGUAUGAGUUUGGGAAGAGUUGGAAAUGCUGAAGAAGUGACCUGGAGACAGCGAAGGUGUGUUCUCUACCUGGCCAGCGUCAUGUUGCCUGUUUGCUUACUGCACGCAUGGUGACAAAACAGAAGCCUCCAUGUUG
rnacentral:lncRNA from 1 species